rnacentral:rRNA from 1 species
AAAAUUGGACAAUGGGCGGAAGCCCGAUCCAGGCAUGGCGCGUGGGUGAAGAAGGUCUUCGGAUUGUAAAGCACUUUAUGUUGGGGGGAAGGGCAGUAAGUUAAUACCUUGCUGUCUUGACGUUACCGACAGAAUAAGCACGGGCUCAUUUCGUGCCAGCAGCGCAGGUAAUACGAAGGGUGCAUUCGUUAAUCGUAAUUACUGGGCGUAAAGCGGGCGUAGGUGAUUUAUUAAGUGGGAAGUGAAAGCCCCGGUAUCAACCUGGGAACUGCUUUCAAAACUGGCAAGCAAGAGUAUGGCAGAGGGUGGUGGAAUUUCCCGUGUAGCGGUGAAAUGCGUAGAUAUAGGAAGGAACGCCAGUGGCGAAGGCGACUACCUGGACUGAUACUGACACUGAGGUGCGAAAGCGUGGGGAGCAAAC